GACGAACGCUGGCGGCGUGCUUAACACAUGCGAGUCGAACGGAAAGGCCCUGCUUUUGUGGGGUGCUCGAGUGGCGAACGGGUGAGUAACACGUGAGUAACCUGCCCUUGACUUUGGGAUAACUUCAGGAAACUGGGGCUAAUACCGGAUAGGAGCUCCUGCUGCAUGAUGGGGGUUGGAAAGUUUCGGCGGUUGGGGAUGGACUCGCGGCUUAUCAGCUUGUUGGUGGGGUAGUGGCUUACCAAGGCUUUGACGGGUAGCCGGCCUGAGAGGGUGACCGGCCACAUUGGGACUGAGAUACGGCCCAGACUCCUACGGGAGGCAGCAGUGGGGAAUAUUGCACAAUGGGCGGAAGCCUGAUGCAGCAACGCCGCGUGCGGGAUGACGGCCUUCGGGUUGUAAACCGCUUUCGCCUGUGACGAAGCGUGAGUGGCGGUAAUGGGUAAAGAAGCACCGGCUAACUACGUG
rnacentral:rRNA from 1 species